CCCCCUGUGAGAAUGCCCUUACCCCCUGCCCGGGAACAAGGAGCUGGCAUCAGGCUCAGUCACACCUAGCCCACAACGCCUUGCUUAGCCACCCCCUCAAGGGAAUCCAGCAGUGAUAAACAUUAAGCAAUAAGUGAAAGCUUGACUUAGUUAAAGUUAAGAGGGCCGGUAAAACUCGUGCCAGCCACCGCGGUUAUACGAGAGGCCCAAGUUGAUAGACAACGGCACAAAGGGUGGUUAGGGAAACAACAUAAACUAAAGCAAAACUCUUUCCGGGCUGUUAUACGCGCACCGAAAGUCUGAGACCCAAUUACGAAAGUAGCUUUACUUACCCUGAUUCCACGAAAGCUAAGGAACAAACUGGGAUUAGAUACCCCACUAUGCUUAGCCCUAAACAUUGAUUCAUCUAAUGCAUCAUCCGCCCGGGUAUUACGAGCACGAGCUUAAAACCCAAAGGACUUGGCGGUGCUUAACACCCAUCUAGAGGAGCCUGUUCUAAAACCGAUAACCCCCGUUAAACCUCACCCCCUCUUGCCCCGUCCGCCUAUAUACCACCGUCGUCAGCUCACCCUGUGAAGGCUUUACAGUCAGCAAAAUCGGCAAUAUCCCAAAACGUCAGGUCGAGGUGUAGCGAAUGAGGGGGGAAGAAAUGGGCUACAUUUACUAACCCUAGUAAAUACGAAUGAUGUACUGAAACGUACAGCUGAAGGAGGAUUUAGUAGUAAGUGGGAAGCAGAGUGUUCCACUGAAGCAAGGCACUAAAGCGCGCACAUACCGCCCGUCACCCUCCCCAAAGCCCCAAUCAUAAAACCAAGUUAAUUAAAAAAACAAACCGCUGUCGGUGAGGAAAGUCGUAACAUGGUAAGUGUACCGGAAGGUGUACUUGGAUAAAAAU
rnacentral:ncRNA from 2 species